rnacentral:rRNA from 1 species
CGGGUGAGUAACGCGUGGGUAACCUGCCUCAUACAGGGGGAUAACAGUUAGAAAUGACUGCUAAUACCGCAUAAGCGCACAGGACCGCAUGGUCCGGUGUGAAAAACUCCGGUGGUAUGAGAUGGACCCGCGUCUGAUUAGCUGGUUGGUGAGGUAACGGCCCACCAAGGCGACGAUCAGUAGCCGGCCUGAGAGGGUGAACGGCCACAUUGGGACUGAGACACGGCCCAGACUCCUACGGGAGGCAGCAG